rnacentral:rRNA from 1 species
ACGGGUGAGUAAUACAUCGGAACGUAUCCUGGAGUGGGGGAUAGCCCGGCGAAAGCCGGAUUAAUACCGCAUACGCUCUGAGGAGGAAAGCGGGGGACCUUCGGGCCUCGCGCUCAAGGGGCGGCCGAUGGCGGAUUAGGUAGUUGGUGGGGUAAAGGCCUACCAAGCCGACGAUCCGUAGCUGGUCUGAGAGGACGACCAGCCACACUGGGACUGAGACACGGCCCAGACUCCUACGGGAGGCAGCAGUGGGGAAUUUUGGACAAUGGGGGCAACCCUGAUCCAGCAAUGCCGCGUGUGUGAAGAAGGCCUUCGGGUUGUAAAGCACUUUUGUCCGGAAAGAAAUCAUCGGGGCCAAUACCCCUGGUGGAUGACGGUACCGGAAGAAUAAGCACCGGCUAACUACGUGCCAGCAGCCGCGGUAAUACGUAGGGUGCGAGCGUUAAUCGGAAUUACUGGGCGUAAAGCGUGCGCAGGCGGUGCUGUAAGACCGAUGUGAAAUCCCCGGGCUUAACCUGGGAACUGCAUUGGUGACUGCAGCGCUGGAGUAUGGCAGAGGGGGGUGGAAUUCCG